rnacentral:lncRNA from 1 species
AAAACCUAGUAAAAUUUAUCAAAUCUUUAUUUCUGAACACUCACAAAUUCUUCCCACUUUGAAAAUCUCCAGUGAUCAUUCAGUUACACACCAAAUAACAGAAGUGAGGCUAGGUAGGCUGGUUGUCUUUUUGAGCUAUGCUUCAAUUGCCCUGCCUCUAGAUACAUUAACUCAUGGCCACCUUCUUUUUCUUCUCUUUUCAUUUUCCUUCUUUUCCUGAGAAGGGUAAAGCAGUCUUGAAGACUUGCUAUUUCCAUGACCAGAGAGUUUUAUAUUUAUGGAAGACCUAAAAACCAGAGAAAACCCACAAAAUAACAGUCAUUUGAAACCAUAGACAAUGCAUUUUUUCUCAUUUAUUCAAAUUCACUGCAGGAAGUAAACACUAAAAGAUUAAAAAACAAAACAAAAAAAAUUCACACCGCAGUAUGUACAGUUUCAUGAUAUCACAUGAAGAAAUUAAAUUUCUAAUAAAAAUGACAAAUUAUAUUACUAAGCCGAUAGCAUUAAAAUUGGUUGUGUAAACCCCAAAAUUCAUAUGAACGGUAAUGUCCCUGUAUUCCAGCAGACUGGAAUACUCCUGGUAUAAUAUUACAUUUUCAAUGGGAUUAAAAAAUUCAUGAAAGUAGUUGUGUGAACUCUUAAUGUUGAAAAGUGGUUGACUUGAUUUUAAAAAGUUUUAAGACCCUUGGAUUCAAAGCACAUUCUUUCACAAAGCUUAAACCACAGAAGUCAUAUCCAGAAAUGGAAUACUGUCAUGUUGGGAUGAACAUCUGAUCUGACUUGUUAAGACAUUUUGCCAAAUGCACAGAUGCACAGGGUCCCCCAUGCACUUUUCAUGCAGCAGGUAAUCACAACUUAAAUAAAAGGUUUAUUCUAUACAUUUGUCCAGACUUGCAACUGUAUACAUCAUGCACAAUUUUUAAACCUGUCUGAUUAUAUUUACACUUAUACAUGGAAUAUACAGAAACUGAAGAGGUUAAAAGGCUUUUCUGUUGCAUUAGAACAAUACAAAAUAUGUAUUUUUCAUUAAGGAAAUCACUAUUUACAUCACCUUUAAAAACUGAUUUUAACAUCUUCAUGUAACAAGUCAAUAUAUAUAUAUAUACAUAUUAUAUAUAUAUAUAUAUAAAAUAUAUACUCUCACCAGUUUACUCUUCUGUAACACGUACCAGAGAAUAAACAGGUAAUGCUACCUUACUGAUGUCAAUGAGAGCUGUAGUACCCUUUCACAAACGACUUCAUCGGGAAGAAAUUGUCUAGAUAUCUAAAAUAGUCCUUGAAAACGUGUGUAUGCGCGUCUUGUAACUACAUAUGCAUAAACAAAGUGAAGUUAUGGAUGUAUGCCCUUUCUGACUGUUCUUUAAAAUCACCCUAAAGUCAAACUGGGGACAUUCUCUAGUAAAUCAGAACAUCAUUCUUCUGGUCAUGUUUAUCUACGUAUUACAUAUCCUCAUUCCUUUAACUGUUAACAAUGACAACAACAAAAACAACCAACCAAUCAAAGAAACAAACAAAAAGAUAGCAAUGCUGGCCCUUGAUACUCUUUUCCCUGACCUAAAUUUCACUCCCUUGUGAAAGCCCAUUUUCCCCCGACCAAAGGGGAAUACCAACAAUUUUUCUAGCAUACCUCUAAGGCUGCAGACCUUUCACAAUGGCAGGAAAAAAAAAAAUGACUUGCUUAAAAACUUAUUUAUAUGGUGGAGACAAUAAGAUUGUCACAGAGUCAAUAUGGGAUGGAAUAGAAUAUAUUCACUGGCCAGUGGGAUUUUCACUUCAGAAUAAGCAUACGCCUUCAUCUCUCCAUGAUGUAGCAUAAUAUUCACUCCUGACUAUUGUUUUAUAAUAUAUCCAGUAACUAUUUACAAAUCAUUUUGAGAAAAAAAUAAUCAUUUAGGGUUUUAGAUCAUAUAGGAAAUAACGCCCAUUUUUAAUAUAAAAAAUCUUAGAAACAACUUCAAGUAGAACAACUUCAAAUAGAUUUCCUUCUAAUUAAUAGUUGAUUAUAUAACAAUUUUUUGAUAGGUCAGUUGCAAACCUGGUUCACUUUUAAAAACAAAAGUAUUAUCUGGUGAACAAACUGUGGACUGUGAAAGCUGAACUUAAAACAUAGGGACUUGUUUCAAGAUCAAAACCCCAUGUGGCUCGAUAAGAAGUUCUUCCAAGAGAACAUCAAUGUUUAUGUCUUAAUUGCAAUUUUAAAAGAGUAGGACCAAUGGAGGGACUGUGUGCAACUUUGUCAUGUAUAUGUGCCCUCUGUACUUUUCUCUUUAGUCAAUCUGAGUUGAGUGCCUUUCUUGGGUUUGAGAGAAAUAUUUUUGUCUUGGUCAGCAAUGUUCUUAGGACAAUGAUUUUAAUAGAAACUAAGGAUGUAUUCAGGAGAAGUUUCCAAACCAUCCUGGAAUCACCUGAGUUUGGUAAGUGGCCCUGUUAUUCCAUCCCUAAGGCUAAUUAAGUAGAUGUUACUCAUUAGAACACACAAAUAAUCACAGAUUUUCCUGAGAUGUUGAGCCAGAUAUGAAAGUUGUCCCCUCCACCCAAUUUUUUUUUUUGUCAUAAAAAGUAUUCUGAACCCGAUUUCCAAAGACAUAACGGUUAUAUAUGAACUACAAUAUUGCAAAUUUUGAGUUGAUGUAUAACUGUAUUGGGGAAAAUAUAGGCAUCAAGUAGUUUGGUUUUUUGUUUGUUUGUUUUUUACAGUCCUGUGUUCUGAGAAAAGUCAUAAGCAAUGGUUCUCAAACUUGAGUGUGCAGAAGAAACAUCUAGGAAGUGUGUUAAGAUGCAGCUGGGAGAUUCCCAGGUCCACUUAGCAGAGAUUCUUGAUCUGUAGAUCUGAGAUGCUGCCUAGGAAUCUGCAUUUUAAAACAAGUGCUCCAGAUGAUUCUAAUGCAGGUGGUCUGAGUCCAGCUUUUAAGAAACCCUGGUCGUAAGACUCACAGGUACCACAGAAAUGGUGAGAAGUAACUUUUACAAGAGAUGGUGAAAAUUGUCCAAAGAAAAGCCAUUUUGCUUCUGUUAAAAACAACUUCUUAAAUAGUCAACUAUUCAGGAAACCACCUGAAGGUAAAUGGUUAACUUUCCUAAUUCUGUAAAAGGAGGAAUAUUAAUUUAGUAAAGUAGCUAAAAUACAAAAAUGGAAAUCUGCCUUUUUUUAAGGAUCUAUCAAACUUCCAUCAAUUGUAAUCAAUUUUUACUAAGUAGUACAAGGUUUAAAGAAAUACAUAUUGAAAAGGACUGGGGUGGGGCAGACACAUUGGGAACCACAAAACCCCUUCCAAGAGUUAAAAAUAAAUACGUCUUCUUCUUCUUCUUCUUUUUUUUUUUUUUUUAGCAAAAGUGAAAAAUGUAAGCCUAUUUUUUCUAAUUUAUUUCUGAAUCGGAUAAUGAGAAGUGAAUUAGGUUCUUUUUUUUAAUUCAACGAUUAAUAUUUAAAGAGUCAUUGAACAAUUUGGAUUUAAAAACAAAUGUGUUAUGUAGGCCGACGUCUGAAAAGCAAAAUAAAGUACCCUAAUAAAGGCAGCAAAAUGCAUUAAUCCACUAUGGAUGGAGAUUUACAUUUUAAUUUACGCCUAUUACUGGAUUAUAAAAGAUUUUUCAUUCAUAGGCUACUCACAGUUGUUGUUUGGUGCAUACAGAGUGUUAAACAACCAAUUUGCUAGUUCAGUAGUUUCCUCAUGACAUCUAACGUAAAGCAAAAAAGUAGUGUGCAUAUUUAGACAUCACCAGCAACCAAUACUUCUCGAAAUGAAAAAAGUUUCAGUUAUACCAUGCUUUUCUCAAAUCAUGCUCUUAUUUAUACAGGUCGCAAGUUCAUACUAAGCAGUUUGCAAAAAAAAAAAAAAAAAAAAAAAAAAAA